rnacentral:pre_miRNA from 1 species
AAUUAGUUCAUUUUUUAGUUUUUAAUACCACGUUUGACUUUUCGUUUUAUUUAAAUUUUUUUGCGAUUAAUAUUUUUAUUGUCAUUACAUGAUAAAAUAUGAAUAUUACUUUACGUGUGACUUUUUUUAAGUUUUUUUAUAAUUUUUUUAAAUGAGACGGAUGACUAAACGCUACAUAGAAACCAACGAAUAAAGUCCCU